rnacentral:rRNA from 1 species
CAGUCGCCGCGGGAAUACGAAGGGGGCUAGCGUUGCUCGGAAUGACUGGGCGUAAAGGGCGCGUAGGCGGUUUUGACAGUCAGAUGUGAAAUUCCUGGGCUUAACCUGGGGGCUGCAUUUGAGACGUCAAGACUAGAGUGUGAGAGAGGGUUGUGGAAUUCCCAGUGUAGAGGUGAAAUUCGUAGAUAUUCGGAAGAACACCAGUGGCGAAGGCGGCUUACUGGCUCAUACUGGACGCUGAGGUGCGAAAGCGUGGGGAGCAAACAGGAUUAGAUACCCCAGUAGUCCCUGUCUCUUAUAC